UCCCCGGCGAGGACACAGGCUGAGCUCAUCCCGCACGGCUCCCUGGCUGACGUCGGGCCAGCAAGGCCGUCUCGGGGCCCCGGGACAGAAAGCCUCGCUGCCUAAGCGCGGAUGGCAGCGGAUGACCCGCGACGACCCGCCAAACACUCACCGGCUACGAUCCAGCGAUGGCCGCAAAAGGAAAGAGGUCUCUACCCGACUUCCGGUUCUGUAAGUUGACGAGAGAUCUCGCGAGAGUCUCAGGACGAGCAGGGAGAGGAGGUUGAGCGAGAAGAGGAAACUAGGAAUGGAAGGUCAGCGUCGCCUAGCGGCUCGGAGGGGAACUGCGAGCGGUCCCGGUGUCAUCCGUUCGAGAUGGGCAAAGUCUUAACGGAACAGGCUGCUAUCAGGAUGAUCAACAACAACAACAACACCACCACCACAAACUGUUCCUCUGCACUGUAUAACCAACUCCCCAGGAGAUACAGUGGCGACUCCUUCCAUCUGCUCAUUCGUCCAUCUGUCCACCCACCAGAUUUCAACAGCUAUUUGCCAAAUACUGAGAUUGUACACUGGGGAUAAAGAGAGAUUACAAAAUCCUUCAUGAAGCCUAA